rnacentral:lncRNA from 1 species
ACAAAAAGAAAUAGCACCCUCAAAGUCCCAAGUUGACUGAUGCUGAAUCGAAAAGAAGAGAUUGACUGCCAUGUGUCAUGGUCAGUUAUAUCAGCAGAGAGUGAUGAAAGCAUUCGAUAAGAAGGUCAAGCCUAAGAAAUAGCACCCUCAAAGUCCCAAGUUGACUGAUGCUGAAUCGAAAAGAAGAGAUUGACUGCCAUGUGUCAUGGUCAGUUAUAUCAGCAGAGAGUGAUGAA